rnacentral:rRNA from 1 species
AUUGAACGCUGGCGGCAUGCCUAACACAUGCAAGUCGAACGGCAGCACGGGAGCUUGCUCCUGGUGGCGAGUGGCGGACGGGUGAGUAAUGCAUAGGAAUCUGCCCAGUAGCGGGGGACAACUUGGGGAAACUCAAGCUAAUACCGCAUACGCCCUACGGGGGAAAGCGGGGGACCUUCGGGCCUCGCACUAUUGGAUGAGCCUAUGUCAGAUUAGCUUGUUGGUGGGGUAAAGGGCCUACCAAGGCGACGAUCUGUAGCUGGUCUGAGAGGACGAUCAGCCACACUGGGACUGAGACACGGCCCAGACUCCUACGGGAGGCAGCAGUGGGGAAUAUUGCACAAUGGGCGAAAGCCUGAUGCAGCAAUGCCGCGUGUGUGAAGAAGGCCUGCGGGUUGUAAAGCACUUUCAGUAGGGAGGAAACAGUAGCCGGUUAAUAUCCGGUUGCCUUGACGUUACCUACAGAAGAAGCACGGCUAACU